rnacentral:piRNA from 1 species
UGCCAUGGUGUCUGUGAGAAGGUGCCAAUGG